rnacentral:lncRNA from 1 species
GGGAGCCGGCUCCUGCCUUGGCCAGGCUAGAAAGGGGCUCCCACAGUGCAGGGGCGGGCUGAAGGGCUCCUCAAGUGCCACCAAAGUGGGAGCCCAGGCAGAGGAGGUGCCGAGAGCGAGCGAGGGCUGCGAGGACUGCCAGCAGCUGUCACCUCUCGUUACCAUCACUCCUAGUGACCAUUUCGGAUAAUCCACCUUGCCUCAUCAAACCAGAAAACAAUUCAAACCUGGCCUCCUUCUAACUGGAAGCCACAUUUUAAGAACUUAUUGUGAAGAACUGGAAAGCCUCCAAUAGAACAGAAGCUAAAAGCAGAAAUUAUAAAAGCUGUUACACCUACUCAGCUCUAUUACAUGUUGGAAAAACUGAACCAGAGAAACAAUUACAUACACUCUUGUCUUCUGGAAAAGCUGAAUUGGGUUUUGGUCUGAAUCAAUAGGUCUUUGAAUCUGUAACAGUCUCCACAAAGAAGCAGAAAUGGCAAGAACAAGAUCCAAUUCCCAGGACAGCAAUGACAGUGAUGACCCAUUAUACAGGCUGCCUUUCCAGCUCUCCAAUCAUACUUCCAAGAAAACUGCUCACUCUCAGAACCAAGGUUCAAGUUGUACAUUGGGAUUUGGGUAGAGGUAAGAGGAAACACCCUCAAAUAGAUUUGGAUCAUUCCAGAUGUCCUAUAAAUGAAGUUUGACAUUUGCUCAAGUAUCACCACCUCACUGUAAAAGCAACGAAUCUACCUUCAUUGUGAAAAUUUGGGGACUAGAAUUAAUGAGUACAGUAACCUUAUGGAUAGAACCUUCAGAGUUUUUCAUUAUCUAUGUGAAGAGAUAAUUCUAAAUUAUUUGAGAUCUAGUAUCUGUCAGCUUGGGGACUGGUGUCUAGUCCCAAGACUAGACAAAGGAAACCCUUAUUAGUAUUUUUAUUUUCCAUUUCAAAUAAAAAGGGUAUGUGUUAAAAAAAACU